ensembl:snRNA U1 U1 spliceosomal RNA
AUACUUUCCUGGCAGGGGAGAAACCAUGACGACAUAAGCAGUCUUCCCAGGGUGAGGCUUGUCCAUUGCACGCUGGCUGUGCUGACUGCUGUGAUUCCUCCAAAUGUGGGACUCUCGACAGCAUACUUCAUGGCAGUGAGGUCUGCAUUCCUGUGCUCUCUUGAA